UUCGAGCGUCAGUACAACACUCAAGCCUAGCUUGGUCUUGGGCCUCGCCGGAAACGGCGGGCCUUAAAAUCAGUGGCGGCACCUGUGAGGCCCUAAGCGUAGUAAUACUCCUCGCUAUAGGGAUCCAGUAGGUGCUAGCCAGCAACCCCCAACUUUCUAAGUUUGACCUCGGAUCAGGUAGGGAUACCCGCUGAACUUAA
rnacentral:misc_RNA from 1 species